CGCGUAGGUGGCUUGUCAGGUCCGGUGUGAAAUCCUGGGGCUCAACUCCAGGCGUGCAUCGGAAACCGGCUUGCUAGAGUCUGGGAGAGGAGAGUGGAAUUCCUGGUGUAGCGGUGAAAUGCGUAGAUAUCAGGAGGAACACCGGUAGCGAAGGCGGCUCUCUGGAACAGUACUGACACUGAGGCGCGAAAGCUAGGGGAGCGAACA
rnacentral:rRNA from 1 species